GCUUGGUCCGCGCGGCGAGGGCGACGCACACCGGGGCGAGACUGGCGCGCAACGCGUGAGGGCGAGCAGCCUCCCAGAGCUGGAGCGGCCACAGCCUCCUGUACCAGUCACGGAUCACCUCCUUCCGCUCA
rnacentral:SRP_RNA from 16 species